UUAAUUAAUAAACAAAUCAAUGUUAUUUUAUUUCAUAUAUACUAUCUGUCUGUGUUAUCUUUAAGAAUCUGCAAUACAUUUACCACUGACUUGCCGACAAGUUGCUGGCAAAAUCCAAUUAUAUAGCAACUGGUUCGUUGACUUAGGCGUAAAAAAAACACCUGUGGUUCCGGUUCCCGACCGACCCUAUUUUUUUCUGCCGACCCUAUUAUUUUUUCAACGCGAUUGACCGUGCAACCCUAUUUUCUCCAGGUGGUUGCGGGCUGCUCAUACAGCGUGCCAAAAUGGCGUCUGUUGUCACCACCACUGAGCCUGACUCGUACCCAGUCCCUCAAAUGAGGAUUAAACAAAAUAAUGGUGCAUGAUGGGAAUGGUCAAGGGUAAAAUUUGAGGUCAAUUUUUCUUCGUCGUUCCCAUCAUGCAACGCAAAACUCCGUACACUGAUCUAUAUAAAUCGUAAUUGACGACUGGGUACGAGUCAGCCAGUGAGGUUGUCACAAUAAUUAUUGAACCAAAUUGCCUCAAUUCGUCCAUAGGAAAUACGCACCUCUAGUUAAUAUUGAUGUUGGGACUCUACUGCAAAUCGCCCAGCAAAAAACCGGCAAAACCAUGAAAAUAUUUUUUAAAAAAAUUUAUUUCCGACCUACCGACCCUAAUUUUUUCACGAUAUGAAACCGGAACCACAGGGGUUUUUUUACGCCUUAUUAUUCGCAAUUGAGGGCUAAGGAAUGUGAAAAUUGCAAUGAUGAUGAACGAAGACAAACACAAAGUCAACAAAGGCUCAUUUUUUCAACACACUUCUCUUGGCCUUUAAAGCCGAGAAAAAGCCCUCGUGAAAUCAGCCCUUUACGUAUUUCAUCAAAAGGUGAAGAGACAUGGUAAAUAAAAGAUUUUCUAGAUUUUUCUUUCAUUUACAAGGAGCAUUAGGGACAGGUCAUUAUUUAUGGCGAGAAUGCACCGAAGAGAAAUGCUUUUCUUGGUAAAAAUUUUGCUGAUCCGAGUCAUCCGACCAUUAAAAAGACAAAAAAAAAUUACCAUGCAACCUCGAAUAUGAAUUAAAAAAUAAAUACGAACCCCAUUUUCCAAUGAUAUAACCUUCCAUAAACAACUAAUUUUUCAUUGGGCUGAAGUGAAAUUUGCCACAUCCAGUUCGAUGUCAAAUGAGGUUAAACUUCUGGCAUCAGAUUUUUGUUUAGAGCAUGUCAAUGAUGUCAUGCAAGUUCAUCUCACAGGAAAAACUUUCCAUUCAUGGGCUUUUGAAUGUUUUAUCAUGCAAACUAUCAAUGUAAAAACU